rnacentral:rRNA from 1 species
GAUGAACGCUAGCUACAGGCUUAACACAUGCAGGUCGAGGGGUAACGAGAGGAAAGCUUGCUUUCCUUGUCGACGACCGGCGCACGGGUGAGUAACGCGUAUCCAACCUGCCCCCAACUAAGGAAUAACCUUGCGAAAGUAAGACUAAUACCUUAUAAUUUCCUCAGAUGUCAUCUGACGAGGAAUAAAGAUUUAUCGGUUGUGGAUGGGGAUGCGUCUGAUUAGCUUGUUGGCGGGGUAACGGCCCACCAAGGCAACGAUCAGUAGGGGUUCUGAGAGGAAGGUCCCCCACAUUGGGACUGAGACACGGUCCAAACUCCUACGGGAGGCAGCAGUGAGGAAUAUUGGUCAAUGGGCGAAAGCCUGAACCAGCCAAGUAGCGUGCAGGAUGACGGCCCUAUGGGUUGUAAACUGCUUUUAUACAGGAAUAAAGUUAGCCACGUGUGGUUAUUUGUAGGUACUGUAUGAAUAAGGACCGGCUAAUUCUGUGCCAGCCGCCGCGGUAA